CCGCAAGGCACACGACAACUAGGNGCAUGCAUGUCAUGUCGUCAGCCUCGUGCCGUGAGGUGUUGGGUUAAGUCCCGGCCAAGAGCCGGCCAAUCCCCUUAUGUUUUAGUUGCCAGCACGUUAAGGUGGGGACUCUAAACAGACUGCCUGUGCAAACAGAGAGGAAGGAGGGGACGACGUCAAGUCAUCAUGGCCCUUACGUCCGGGGCUACACACGUGCUACAAUGGAUGGUACAGAGGGCAGCAAGCUGGUAACAGCAAGCAAAUCUCCAAAAGCCAUUCACAGUUCGGAUAGAGGUCUGCAACUCGACCUCUUGAAGUUGGAUUCGCUAGUAAUCGUAUAUCAGCAAUGAUNCGGUGAAUACCUUCCCCGGUCUUGUACAC
rnacentral:rRNA from 1 species